ensembl:snRNA U1 U1 spliceosomal RNA
AUUCUUACCUGGUAGAAGAGAUACUAUGAUCACAAAACGGGUUUUGCUAGGGCGAGGCUUGUCUAUCACACUAGUUAUGUGCUGAACCUGAGAUUCUUAUCAAGAAACUCAACGGCAUAAUUUUUGCUGGUGGGGUA